UGCCAGCCGCCGCGGUAAUACGGAAGGUGCCAAGCGUUGUUCGGAAUAACUGGGCGUAAAGCGUGUGUAGGCUGCGCGGAAAGUCAAAUGUGAAAGCCAAGGGCUCAACCCUUGAACUGCAUUCGAUACUCCCGUGCUAGAGUAAUGGAAAGGUAAGUGGAAUUCUCGGUGUAGCAGUGAAAUGCGUAGAUAUCGAGAGGAACAUCAAUGGCGAAGGCAACUUACUGGACAUUUACUGACGCUCAGACACGAAGGCUAGGGGAGCAAACAGGAUUAGAUA
rnacentral:rRNA from 1 species